rnacentral:rRNA from 1 species
CCUACGGGAGGCAGCAGUGAGGAAUAUUGGUCAAUGGUCGGGAGACUGAACCAGCCAAGCCGCGUGAGGGAUGAAGGUACAGAGUAUCGUAAACCUCUUUUGUCAGGGAACAAAGUCGGGGACGUGUCCCCGGAUGCGUGUACCUGACGAAAACGCAUCGGCUAACUCCGUGCCAGCAGCCGCGGUAAUACGGAGGAUGCGAGCGUUAUCCGGAUUUACUGGGUGUAAAGGGCGUGUAGCCGGGUUGACAAGUCAGAUGUGAAAUCCUGCGGCUUAACCGCAGAACUGCAUUUGAAACUGUUGAUCUUGAGUACGGGAGAGGCAGACGGAAUUCCUAGUGUAGCGGUGAAAUGCGUAGAUAUUAGGAGGAACACCAGUGGCGAAGGCGGUCUGCUGGACAGCAACUGACGGUGAGGCGCGAAAGCGUGGGGAGCAAACAGGAUUAGAUACCCUUGUAGUC